rnacentral:lncRNA from 1 species
CUUCUACUCUUUCGCUCCAUGAAGCUGCCUUUGGGCUCCCGCAGAGUUGAGGCGAAUGAAGGGAGAGAGCCUCACAUACUUCUUUAUGGCAAUGCAAAGUGGACUAACACAGGUGAAGACACUUCCAAAACAGCCAGACUUACUCCUCAUACCUGCAACUCCCCUGCACCUCCAAGAACAGCUCCACUGUGCCUCUGAGAUGCUGAAAGCUUCAGCCCCAUUAGGGUCCUCAGGUGGGCACGUACCAGACCCCUAUUCCCUGUGUCUGCAUUCUUAGUGCUUCUCUGGAAGCUUCUGUCAUGCAACUUGGAACGAAGGACAAACACAUGCCUCCCUAUCCCAGCAUGGGGAUGAAGGGUGAUGGCACACCACCCCUACCACUCUGUACAAUUGAACUCUCAUUCUGCCUUCUUUAACUCAAUACUUUUGUAUCCUU